rnacentral:rRNA from 1 species
AACGAACGCUGGCGGCAUGCCUAACACAUGCAAGUCGAACGAAGCCUUCGGGCUUAGUGGCGCACGGGUGCGUAACGCGUGGGAAUCUGCCCUUGGGUUCGGAAUAACAGUUAGAAAUGACUGCUAAUACCGGAUGAUGUCUUCGGACCAAAGAUUUAUCGCCCAAGGAUGAGCCCGCGUAGGAUUAGGUAGUUGGUGGGGUAAUGGCCCACCAAGCCGACGAUCCUUAGCUGGUCCGAGAGGAUGGUCAGCCACACUGGGACUGAGACCCGGCCCAGACUCCUACGGGAGGCAGCAGUGGGGAAUAUUGGACAAUGGGCGAAAGCCUGAUCCAGCAAUGCCGCGUGAGUGAUGAAGGCCUUAGGGUUGUAAAGCUCUUUUACCAGGGAUGAUAAUGACAGUACCUGGAGAAUAAGCUCCGGCUAACUCCGUGCCAGCCGCCGCAGUAACAC